rnacentral:rRNA from 1 species
UUUAAUUAUCAUAUAUAAAAGUGAAAAUAUAAAAUAUAAAUUAAUUUUAGUUGGGGCAACUGGGAGGGAUAAAAAUCUUUUAUUAAAUCAUUUAUAGUAAUAUUUAUAUUUAUGACCCAAAUUAGUUAAUUUUGAACUUAGAAU